ACUCAAAGGAAUUGACGGGGAGGCGCACAAGCAGUGGAGCGUGUGGUUUAAUUCGAUACGAAGCGAAAAACCUCACCAGGGUUUGACAUGCAACUGCAAAUCCCAUGAAAGUGGGACUUCUUCGAGAGUGUUGCACAGAUGCUGCAUGGCUGUCGUCAGCUCGUGGCGUGAGCUGUACCGUUAAGUCGGGAAACGAGCGCAACCCGCACCGUAUGUUAAAUAAUUCAUGCGGAACAGUUCUACUUUGUAGAAAGGAAGGCGCGGAUGACGUCAAGUCAGCACGGCUCUUACACCCUGGGCUACACACACCCUACAAUGGCUAAAGCAACGAGUUGCAAACUGGUAACAGUAAGCUAAUCUCUUAAAGUUAGCCUCAGUUCAGAUUGAGGGCUGCAAUUCGCCCUCAUGAAGUCGGAAUUGCUAGUAAUCGCGAAUCAGCAGGUCGCGGUGAAUACGUUCUCGCCUCUUGUACACACCGCCCGU
rnacentral:rRNA from 1 species